GUAGUACUCCCUCCGUUCCAAAUUACUUGUUGCAGGUAUGGAUGUAAUCUAGAUACAUCCAUACCUGCAACAAGUAAUUCGGAACGGAGGGAGUACAAA
rfam:Triticum urartu cultivar G1812 contig745506, whole genome shotgun sequence.